UACGGAGGGAGCUAGCGUUGUUCGGAUAUACUGGGCGUAAAGCGCACGUAGGCGGCGCAGCAAGUCAGGGGUGAAAUCCCGGAGCUCAACUCCGGAACUGCCUUUGAAACUGCAGUGCUAGAAUCCUGGAGAGGCGAGUGGAAUUCCGAGUGUAGAGGUGAAAUGCGCAGAUAUCGGGAGGAACACCAAUGGCGAAGGCAGCUCGCUGGGACGGUACUGACGCUGAGGCGCGAAAGCGUGGGGAGCAACAGGG
rnacentral:rRNA from 1 species